AGAGAGAGAGAGAGAGAUGGUUGGGAAGAGGAGAAGAGAAAGCGGAAAAGAGAAAGAGGAGAAAAACCCUAGUCUGUUCUUCAUGAAAUUAUUCAAGGUAAAGAGCCGGUCAUUCGGGAGGUGCCGAAACCUUAGUUUGGCAUACUUCGGUCGACACAAAGGUGAGUGUGUUUGAUAUGGUUAUGUUCAAUAAGGUAUUACAUGGUGGUGAUUGUAUAUCAUGCUAAUUGGGAUUUAGCUAAUGAUAUGUGUUUGUUGAGUGUUGAUUGUACUCGCUAAAGGAUUGUGGAGUGAGUCACACCAUAUCGUGGGUCAUGCCGUUGAAUUAACGGUGAAUGGGAAUGUGGUGUGCGGGACACAAUACCUUGGGUACAUGGGAUAUGGCAGACGUGCCACUGUAUGUUGGUGUUUAUACAUGUGGUUAUACAAUUGAGUACUUAUGUUGAGUUUUGUGUGGUUUACAUUCAAGUGAGAUAUUCCUUUGGGUAUUGUAGUAUUUUAUUGAAUGUAUUCUAUAUAUCACACACUCUGG